rnacentral:rRNA from 1 species
GACGUAGGGCGCGAGCGUUGUCCGGAUUUAUUGGGCGUAAAGAGCUCGUAGGCGGCCCGCUAAGUCGAACGUGAAAUCCCCGGGCUCAACCCGGGAACUGCGUCCGAUACUGGUGGGCUUGAAUCCGGGAGAGGGAUGCGGAAUUCCAGGUGUAGCGGUGAAAUGCGUAGAUAUCGGGAAGAACACCCGUGGCGAAGGCGGCUCUCUGGGACGGUACUGACGCUGAGACGCGAAAGCGUGGGGAGCGAACAGG